AUGGGCAGGUCCAGGAAACUUGCCGUGCUGGCAGACUUAGUAGACGGCUAGGAGAAAGGAAUAGCGCAGCCACUUGGGUCUACCAGCGUGCAAAAGACUCAUGGAGCUGAUCUUCGUGAGUUACAGGGUUUGGACCCUCGACUUCCUCAUCUACACCACCUGUGUAGCAUCAAGUGAUGGAGACUUCGUGAGCACAGAGACCUUGGGAAGUAUUUCCUGAAGUCUUGAUAUGCUAAAGGGCUAGAUGCUAAGCUCUGAAGAAAGGGGCAUAUAUAAAAAAGAGUUUGAUCUGCCUAGAAAGAAGUACGGCGAAGGACCUGGAGGCCAUGCCUGUCUCGCAGAGGAAGACUGCUGUGAUUGAUAGUGGCAAGUCCCAGGAUUCAUCUACUAUGACUUCUCUGGGUGCACAAAUUUGGUUCCUGUUCCCCACUCAUGCAGAGGGCUGUACAUCUGUAACUCUAGUUUUUGUCAAGUGGAAAAAGAGUCAAUCAACAAGAACCAAGAACCUAAGACAAAUUAUAUGCAAAGUUGGGCUCUGGAAUUCAGAAUUCUGUCUUCACACCAAGAUAGGCUUAAUUGGACUGACUUACUAAGCACACCAGUUUCCUUGUGCAAACUGACAUAAAGGCCAGCUCCAAGAAUAGGAGACAUCACAGCAUCCCACGGAGGGCACAAGCUGGACCAACUCACACCAAAGAAAAGAAGGUGACUUUCAUAAACAGACAAAAAUACAAACAAAUAAUUAGUCAACCAACAAACUUCAUGUGUAUUAGUCCUGACACAGAAACAAAAGUGGAAUGAGAAAAUAAGACAGCGUGUCUCUCUUCCAAAAUAUACCAGCUCCAGCGUAAGAGCAAACAAUGCAAACAAAUGACCAUAAACACAUUUAGCGAGUACAAAGAACAAGGGAACGUAGUCAAGAAAGCACAAACAUCUGCAUGAAAUACAAACGUCAACUCAGGAUAUGAAAAUAGAAUUCAUAAAAGAGAUAGAAAUACCCAAGAAAAGUCAAUCUGAAGUGAUACUGGGAAUGAAAGGACCUAAUCAGUCAAAUGAAAAACUCAGGGGAAGCCUCAUCAAUAGGACAGAUCAUGUGGAUAACAGAAUACCAGGGUUUGGAAGAUGAAGUAGUGGAUCUGGAUCCCUAGCCAAGCAUGCUGCCUGGUGGAUUUUACUUCGAUAUGGUUUCUAGACAGUAAACCUGGGGCACUGGCAGUGUAACCUGCUUCAGGGAAAGAUCCAACCAUGUCAGCUUCCAGAGAAGAAUGUUUGCCUAUCCUUCUAGUCCAAGGCAAGAAAUCAUGUAGGAUGACGCCAGGAGAAAAGGUCAAGCCAUGCUGCUCUCAGAAUGCAGGAAGAACUGACCGGAACGCCUUGCAAUCUCACCAGCAUUGUCAAGCUAUCACUUUACUCGAACUGGUUUAGAAACUGGAGCCACUUUGUAAACACCCAUGGAAUUGAGGCAGCUUUGCACAAAAGACAGAGAUAUUAACCAGCAUGGUGUAUGAAGAGACUUUGAACCUCGUUGAAAAAAAAAACCUACUUGUUAUUGCCUCCAUCCAUGCAGCUCUCUUUUAUAUCAUCACGUCACAGGAAAUGUAAAAGUAAGACACAACAUACACUGAA